rnacentral:rRNA from 1 species
UACGAACGCUGGCGGCAGGCCUAACACAUGCAAGUCGAGCGCCCCGCAAGGGGAGCGGCGGACGGGUGAGUAACGCGUGGGAACGUGCCCUUUGCUACGGAAUAGCCCCGGGAAACUGGGAGUAAUACCGUAUAAGCCCUACGGGGGAAAGAUUUAUCGGCAAAGGAUCGGCCCGCGUUGGAUUAGGUAGCUGGUGGGGUAAUGGCCUACCAAGCCGACGAUCCAUAGCUGGUUUGAGAGGAUGAUCAGCCACACUGGGACUGAGACACGGCCCAGACUCCUACGGGAGGAAGCAGUGGGGAAUCUUAGACAAUGGGCGCAAGCCUGAUCUAGCCAUGCCGCGUGAGCGAUGAAGGCCUUAGGGUUGUAAAGCUCUUUCGUGGGGGAAGAUAAUGACUGUACCCCAAGAAGAAGCCCCGGCUAACUCCGUGCCAGCCGCCGCAGUAACAC